AUUGAACGCUGGCGGUAGGCCUAACACAUGCAAGUCGAACGGCAGCACAGAGGAGCUUGCUCCUUGGGUGGCGAGUGGCGGACGGGUGAGGAAUACAUCGGAAUCUACUCUGUCGUGGGGGAUAACGUAGGGAAACUCACGCUAAUACCGCAUACGACCUACGGGUGAAAGCAGGGGAUCUUCGGACCUUGCGCGAUUGAAUGAGCCGAUGUCGGAUUAGCUAGUUGGCGGGGUAAAGGCCCACCAAGGCGACGAUCCGUAGCUGGUCUGAGAGGAUGAUCAGCCACACUGGAACUGAGACACGGUCCAGACUCCUACGGGAGGCAGCAGUGGGGAAUAUGGGACAAUGGGCGCAAGCCUGAUCCAGCCAUACCGCGUGGGUGAAGAAGGCCUUCGGGUUGUAAAGCCCUUUUGUUGGGAAAGAAAUCCAUCUGGUUAAUACCCGGGUGGGAUGACGGUACCCAAAGAAUAAGCACCGGCUAACUUCGUGCCAGCAGCCGCCGUAA
rnacentral:rRNA from 1 species